rfam:Culex pipiens quinquefasciatus supercont3.51 genomic scaffold, whole genome shotgun sequence.
GCCCGUGUGGAUCAAUCGGACCGCGCACUGGACUCACAAUCCAGAUGUUGCUGGUUCGAAUCCCGCAGCGGGCG